UCGCCAGCCUUCCGGACAGAGCAAUUGCCUUCUAAGCAAUCGGUCACUGGUUCGAAUCCAGUACAGCGCGCCA
rnacentral:tRNA from 1 species